UUUUGUUGACUUUCUGCAUUGACCAGCUUUUGGUCAAUGUGAAGUUCAUGGAACUUCAUAACGUGAGCGUGAUCACGAUGGUUAUGGUCCAUAGUGACCAUACCUACUGAUUACCACGUUAUCUAGGCUCAGUGACGAGUCGUAGUUUCGGCCAAAAUGCGCAUUCUUGCGUAUUUUGUAACCAAACUACUCGUGGGCAUCAAAGCCGUUUGUUUUGAUGCCAAACCUGUUUCUAAACUUAGUUAAGCAUGUUCUAACAUGCUUAGCUCGUCACUUUUAGUUUAGUGCUUAUAUAGGGUCGUAAGGUAAGCGAUUUAAACCAUCGCUUAUACUUUCGAACCCGACCCAUUUGGUCGGUCAUUAGGACCCGACCAAACACAUUUGGUGACCAUAGCUAUAACCUUCCGAGGUUAUACCGUGUGGUCGCAAUGUUAGGCGUUAUACCGUGUGGUCGCAAUGUUAGGCGUUCCGAACGCGUUCUACGCGAACGACGCGUUAGGGUAGCAUAAGCUACCUAAACGGGUCGU
rnacentral:lncRNA from 1 species